rnacentral:rRNA from 1 species
CCUACGGGCGGCAGCAGUGGGGAAUAUUGGACAAUGGGCGAAAGCCUGAUCCAGCCAUGCCGCGUGUGUGAAGAAGGCCUUCGGGUUGUAAAGCACUUUCAGUGGGGAAGAAAGCCUUGGGGCUAAUACCCUCGAGGAAGGACAUCACCCACAGAAGAAGCACCGGCUAACUCCGUGCCAGCAGCCGCGGUAAUACGGAGGGUGCGAGCGUUAAUCGGAAUUACUGGGCGUAAAGCGCGCGUAGGCGGUCUGAUAAGCCGGUUGUGAAAGCCCCGGGCUCAACCUGGGAACGGCAUCCGGAACUGUCAGGCUAGAGUGCAGGAGAGGAAGGUAGAAUUUCCGGUGUAGCGGUGAAAUGCGUAGAGAUCGGGAGGAAUACCAGUGGCGAAGGCGGCCUUCUGGACUGACACUGACGCUGAGGUGCGAAAGCGUGGGUAGCAAACAGGAUUAGAUACCCCAGUAGUC